CUUGGUCAUUUAGAGGAAGUAAAAGUCGUAACAAGGUUUCCGUAGGUGAACCUGCGGAAGGAUCAUUAUUGAAUGAACUUGGUGUGGUUGUAGCUGGCCCUCUUGAAAAGGGCAUGUGCACACCCACCAUCCUCAUCUCUCCACCUGUGCACCUCUUGUAGACUUGGAUUGACUUUCCGAGGCAACUCGGUCGGGAGGACUGCUGGCACUAGCUGGCUUUCCUUGCAUUUCCAAGUCUACGUUUUUCAUAUACCCUAUCGUAUGUAAUAGAAUGUAUCAUUGGGCACUUGUGCCUAUAAACCUUAUACAACUUUCAGCAACGGAUCUCUUGGCUCUCGCAUCGAUGAAGAACGCAGCGAAAUGCGAUAAGUAAUGUGAAUUGCAGAAUUCAGUGAAUCAUCGAAUCUUUGAACGCACCUUGCGCUCCUUGGUAUUCCGAGGAGCAUGCCUGUUUGAGUGUCAUUAAAUUCUCAACCUUUAUCAGCUUUUGUUGAUAAUGGCUUGGAUAUGGNGGGUUUAUUUUUGCUGGCUUCUUCACGGAUGGUCAGCUCCCCUUAAAUGCAUUAGCCGGUGCCCCGCGUGGACUGUCUAUUGGUGUGAUAAUUAUCUACGCCGUGGAUAUCUGCAGUCAUAUGGGUUUGCACUGCUUCUAACCGUCUGUUCAUUCAGACAAUAUAUGACAAUUUGACCUCAAAUCAGGUAGGACUACCCGCUGAACCUAAGCAUAUCAAUAAGCGGAGGAAAAGAAACUAACAAGGAUUCCCCUAGUAACUGCGAGUGAAGCGGGAAAAGCUCAAAUUUAAAAUCUGGCGGUCUCCGGCCGUCCGAGUUGUAAUCUGGAGAAGUGUUAUCCGCGCUGGACCGUGUACAAGUUUCCUGGAAUGGAGCGUCAUAGAGGGUGAGAAUCCCGUCUUUGACACGGACUGCCAGUGCUUUUGUGAUGCGCUCUCAAAGAGUCGAGUUGUUUGGGAAUGCAGCUCAAAAUGGGUGGUAAAUUCCAUCUAAAGCUAAAUAUUGGCGAGAGACCGAUAGCGAACAAGUACCGUGAGGGAAAGAUGAAAAGAACUUUGGAAAGAGAGUUAAACAGUACGUGAAAUUGCUGAAAGGGAAACGCUUGAAGU
rnacentral:rRNA from 1 species